AAAAACUUUAAUAUUUAAAAUGCUAACGCAUCUGUUGUGUCGAUCGAGUGAAGUGUGAACUCUUCCUCUUCACCUUAACUGUAAUAUUCUGCUUUACUCCACACACUGAGAGAAUACCUCAAUCCUCAUACGCGUUGUGUGUAUUGUUGUUUGUUGUGUAUUGUGUGUAUUUGGAAUUUUUUUGCGAACUGGACGCUAUUAUGUAUUUUAAUUAGUGUUGUGUACGUAAUUGUAACAGCAAGCGCAAGGAACG